rnacentral:rRNA from 1 species
UUGAAUUGAAGAGUUUGAUCAUGGCUCAGAUUGAACGCUGGCGGCAGGCUUAACACAUGCAAGUCGAACGGUAGCAGGAGAAAGCUUGCUUUCUUGCUGACGAGUGGCGGACGGGUGAGUAAUGCUUGGGAAUCUGGCUUAUGGAGGGGGAUAACUACGGGAAACUGUAGCUAAUACCGCGUAGUAUCGGAAGAUGAAAGUGCGGGACCGUAAGGCCGCAUGCCAUGAGAUGAGCCCAAGUGGGAUUAGGUAGUUGGUGGGGUAAAGGCCUACCAAGCCUGCGAUCUCUAGCUGGUCUGAGAGGAUGGCCAGCCACACUGGAACUGAGACACGGUCCAGACUCCUACGGGAGGCAGCAGUGGGGAAUAUUGCGCAAUGGGGGGAACCCUGACGCAGCCAUGCCGCGUGAAUGAAGAAGGCCUUCGGGUUGUAAAGUUCUUUCGGUAUUGAGGAAGGAGUGUAUGUUAAUAGCAUACAUUAUUGACGUUAAAUACAGAAGAAGCACCGGCUAACUCCGUGCCAGCAGCCGCGGUAAUACGGAGGGUGCGAGCGUUAAUCGGAAUAACUGGGCGUAAAGGGCACGCAGGCGGUUAUUUAAGUGAGGUGUGAAAGCCCCGGGCUUAACCUGGGAAUUGCAUUUCAGACUGGGUAACUAGAGUACUUUAGGGAGGGGUAGAAUUCCACGUGUAGCGGUGAAAUGCGUAGAGAUGUGGAGGAAUACCGAAGGCGAAGGCAGCCCCUUGGGAAUGUACUGACGCUCAUGUGCGAAAGCGUGGGGAGCAAACAGGAUUAGAUACCCUGGUAGUCCACGCUGUAAACGCUGUCGAUUUGGGGAUUGGGCUUUAAGCUUGGUGCCCGUAGCUAACGUGAUAAAUCGACCGCCUGGGGAGUACGGCCGCAAGGUU